GGAAGCAGCUGCUGUGAGUCUGGCCCACAUUCUGUUCACUGCACUCACCUGACUCAGUGCAUGUGCAUCAAGGCUGGAAUCUCGGGUUCUCAGAUUGGAGGUAAGAGAUGCUCUGAGCCAGUGUCGGUGAACAGUUGAAAGGGAUUAUUCGGGUUCUCUGUCUCACCUGAAGGCUCCCAACUGUGACCAGGGCCUUCCUAAUGGCCCCUGAGCUCACAGAGCCCAGGGAGAGUCACCGUGGACUGAGCAGUAGUGCUGAUGUUUGUGUCUCUGUACUUGGGCUCAUGGGCACCACCUCUGGAUCCAUCCAGGAGGAAAUAGACUGGUCAGGUAGGGACUGACACUCCAGGGUUGACCAGUGAGGAGGGUUCUUGGGGAUUGGGUGACACUUGUUUUGGAGCCUAGGAUGGGAUCAGUGAAGUGACUAAAUAUGAAAGGAAAUAGGUGUAGAAGUGUGAUUUGGUUUAUGUAUCUUAAUGAGAAAGUUGUAAGAGUUUUGUUCUCAUGAGCUUUGUGUGAGUUGUGUUGUCACCAUCAUUUCUUGCUCUGGUGUUUAAAGAUUACAUUUUGCAAAGACCAGAUCAGUCCUGCCUUUGCCACAGCAAGCACCAGAGCCCUGGGUUUGAUGAGGCAGCGUUUUGUUGUGAAUGGAGAUGACAGGAUGAGUGUGCAGGUGUAACGCUGAGUGUGGGGUGGGACACAGCCUCUCACAGGUGCUACGUGAUCCUGAAGACAAAGUCUUUCAUACGUGUGCCAGGAGCUGAAAGGAGCCCACCCUCUUUCUCUACACUCUUGGGACCUGCAACGGCAUCUUCCUGUUCUGUCCUCAGCGUCUGCUGCUGCUCUAAGGGUGCUCCCUGGGUGGGAUGACACAGGGAGUCCUUCCUCUGGGAUUCCUGCGUGUGCCCCGGCAUCCUGGAGUCCUCAGGGCGGAACACUUGACUGAGCACAGUUUUGGCCUCCACUCCUCACCCAAUCCCAUCCAAUCCCAAAUCCGUGGGCUUUGAAUGAAACCUACAUUGGCUUUCAUUGGAGAGGCCCGAGUCCAGCUGUGGCUCAAGGCCCUCUGUGGCUGGCAGGAAUCCUCGGGGAUAUGUGUGGAGGGGCUGCUGUGUUGCUGUAGGCAGUGGCUCUCGCCCUCCCUGUAGCCUGGUCCCUGGAAUCCACUGGGCCCAGGGCAGAGCCUCUUGGGUCACUUGUCUUGUGACACCCUCGUCUCUGGCCCAACAGCCUCGUCCUGCUCCCCACACUCCAGUCAGGCCCAGCUUGUUCUCUGUGUCAGGCCUGCCAGGUGCCCACCCUCCUAGUCUUCCCACAGCUCAGGCAAACCCUGGGAGGCCCCCUCAUUUCUGUGCUGACAACUGCUGGCCUCACCUGCAGAUUAAAGCAACUGGGACAAGAGGCUUUAUCUUGAAUUCUGUUCCAUUGUUUCCAAAUACUCAGAAGCUGGUGGGAUUCGUUUGACGACUGAAUAUUUUCCAAGUCUCUAGGGUCAUUCCAGGCAUAGAACAGUCACUGUAUCUGUGACGUCAUUCAUCAUCAGCUCCCACAGCCCCCAACACAACCCCAGGCCUGUGGACAUCGGUUAUGAUCGCCUCCCACGGGCCCCAACACAACCCCAGGCCUGACUGAAUCUGUGGCAUUGGCCAUCAUUGCCUCCCAAAGGCCCCAACACAACCCCAGGCCUGGGCAGGUGCUGCCGACCCAGGGUGUGAUCCAUGUGUUGACUGGAGGCUGGCAGUGCAGCCUUGGCCUUCUUUCCGAUGUUCUUCUAUUGGAGACCAGUAGGACUGGUGGAGGUCCACAAGGAGGAAGGAAAUGGGAUUCAUGAAGGAACAGAAGCAGGCCCUACAGGAGGAGGAGGGAGGGAUUCCACGUCAUGCACGACAUUGUGAAGAGGGCGGCCGCCUCUUGGAGGAACAGAAUGACAUGGCUUCCCCUCCCUUGGCUGUUAUGGAAUAUGAGGGCUGGGAAAGUGUGUGGGAAGUCGGAGGUCCCUCCCUCGUAGCACAGAGGAAAUGAUACGGGCUGUGGAGAAGUCUCCAGAAAUGGGCACAUCAGAGGCUCUGGGGUUGGCUCCACAGCCCUGGGACAGCGGAGUCUGAGGGGUUCUCUCGACAAUAACUCUCCCUUUUCCUUCUUAUGGCCGCCCCCAUCACCGCUUCUCCUCUGGACACUCUGAUGCUUGCUUCCCAGAACUGGAAGACUCCACCAUUACAGGCAGCCACCAGCAGAUGUCUGCAAGUCUUUCCUCUGCACCUGCAGAAGAAGCAACAGAAAAAACAAAAGUGGAAGAGGAAGAGUAAACCAGGAAGCUCAGGAAGGAUACCCUGAACUAUUGGGACAUUUUUAAUAUAUUUUAGAGACCUCUGAAGGUAAGUGAAGAGAUGCCCUGAGAACAUCCUCCAGAAAACAGACACCCACUCCAUAGCAGCCCCUGAGCCUGCUGGGCUGAGCCCUCCACAGGCUGCUUAGUGAGGGAGACACUGAGGUGCUGGUUGGGCCACCAUGUGCAGGAUACCAGGGGCUGUGCACUAUGUUAUUUGUCUGCAGUGACACUUCAGCUCACCAGCAUCUCAUUUGGGGGGACCUAGCUCUGUCCCCCCAGCCCCUUGAGGCCAACAGGGAGCAUCACUAGUUCAUCCGGAGGAGACACUGGGGUUGACAGUGACAGACUGUCAGGAUUAAGAAAGACUGGAUGAAGAAAACGUGGCACAUAUACACCAUGGAAUACUAUGCAGCCAUAAAAAAGGAUGAGUUUGUGUCCUUUGUAGGGACAUGGAUGCAGCUGGAAACCAUCAU